UACAGAGGUCUCAAGCGUUGUUCGGAUUCAUUGGGCGUAAAGGGUGCGUAGGCGGCGCGGUAAGUCGGGUGUGAAAUCUCGGAGCUUAACUUCGAAACUGCAUUCGAUACUGCCGUGCUUGAGGACUGGAGAGGAGACUGGAAUUUACGGUGUAGCGGUGAAAUGCGUAGAUAUCGUAAGGAAGACCAGUGGCGAAGGCGGGUCUCGUGGACAGUUCCUGACGCUGAGGCACGAAGGCCAGGGGAGCAAACGGG
rnacentral:rRNA from 1 species